CCUUUCCAAUGUGCCAUUCUGAACACAACCAGUCUCAUCUGAUUUUUUGGAAGCUAAGCAGGGUUAUGCCUACUUAGUAUUUGGAUGGGUUGAUACUAGGAAUCUAGACAGAGGAAAGAA
rnacentral:rRNA from 1 species